AAAAGAUUACGAAUUUUUGAUAUUUUUGUAUUU
rnacentral:sRNA from 1 species